rnacentral:rRNA from 1 species
UGGGGAAUCUUGGUCAAUGGGCGGGAGCCUGAACCAGCCAAGCCGCGUGAGGGAGGAAGGCCCUAUGGGUCGUAAACCUCUUUUGUCAGGGAACAAAAGCGAGUAUGUAUACUAGUCUGAGUGUACCUGAAGAAAAAGGCAUCGGCUAACUCCGUGCCAGCAGCCGCGGUAAUACGGAGGAUGCGAGCGUUAUCCGGAUUUAUUGGGUUUAAAGGGUGCGUAGGCGGCGGUGCAAGUCAGCGGUAAAAGCCCGGGGCCUCAACCCCGGCGAGCCGUUGAAACUGCAGUGCUAGAGAAGGCGAGAGGUACGCGGAAUGCGCAGUGUAGCGGUGAAAUGCUUAGAUAUUGCGCAGAACUCCGAUUGCGAAGGCAGCGUACUGGCGCCUGACUGACGCUGAGGCACGAAAGCGUGGGGAUCGAACAGGGAUUAGAUACC